rnacentral:tRNA from 1 species
UGGGCGGUUUCCUAGUGGUCUAAGGAGGUUCACUGUAAAUGAAUUUGCUCGCGCAAUCGGUAGUUCGAAUCUACCUCGCCCAA